rnacentral:rRNA from 1 species
AGAGUUUGAUCCUGGCUCAGAUUGAACGCUGGCGGAAUGCUUUACACAUGCAAGUCGAGCGGCAGCGCGGGGCAACCUGGCGGCGAGCGGCGAACGGGUGAGUAUUGCAUCGGAACAUGUCCAUGUCGUGGGGGAUAGCCCGGCGAAAGCCGGAUUAAUACCGCAUACGCCCGAGAGGGGAAAGCGGGGGACCGCAAGGCCUCGCGCGAUUGGAUUGGCCGAUGUCCGAUUAGCUAGUUGGUGAGGUAACGGCUCACCAAGGCGAUGAUCGGUAGCUGGUCUGAGAGGAUGAUCAGCCACACUGGGACUGAGACACGGCCCAGACUCCUACGGGAGGCAGCAGUGGGGAAUUUUGGACAAUGGGGGAAACCCUGAUCCAGCCAUUCCGCGUGAGUGAAGAAGGCCUUCGGGUUGUAAAGCUCUUUUGUCCGGAACGAAACGGGUAGCGUGAAUAUCGCUGCCUACUGACGGUACCGGAAGAAUAAGCACCGGCUAACUACGUGCCAGCCGCCGCGGUAAUAC